AAAAACAAAAGAUAAAUAUGGAAAACCAAAUUACUCUAAUGAAUAAUAAUAAUAGAAAAGAAACAAAUUUGAAGGUUUAUAAUUACAUUUGGAAUUUUGUCCUCUGAAUUUAUAGCAUGUAGAAUAGUAUUUAAACUAAGCAUGAGUUUGUUAGUUACAAUACAAUACUGAAUGUAACAAAGUUAGCUUUCUCAUACAAUAAAUUAAUUUUUUCAUCUUUAGAUACUUAUAUCUAUUCAUACUAUUAG
rnacentral:lncRNA from 1 species